CUCGAGGAAGCGGAGAUGGGGCAGAGGAAAGGGGAGCACCUGAACACUGCCCACCUGAAGUCCAUACAGGUCCUAAGUACCAUGCUGUCCCAGCAACUGUCUGGUCUCUGGGUGUUAUGCUAUUUGAAAUGCUUACUGGACAUAUGCCCUUUAAAAAAAAGGAGGAAAUAUUGCUUGCCGAUCCUAAGUUUCCAAACUCCUACUUAUCCAGAGGUUGGACAAAUACAUACCAUACAGUCUGAAGACCAUUGAAAACCGAAGACUCAACACAGAAUUGACAAGGAUGGAUGAAGUGCAAUAUCAAAACGAGCAUUGAAUAGAUGUCCUACAAAUCUUUGGUGUACUGCAUAAAAAAGACAAGGAUGUACGAUAUGCAUCCUAGAUGAAGUGCAUUAAUGAGUGCACUUUAUAACAAGAAAGCCAAAGACAGAGAACAGCUCUACAGCUUCACACUAUCUCUCAUGAGGAGAAGAUCCACUGAAUGAGUUUCAGAGUGGUCCAUCCAUCCAUCCAUAGGCGGUGUCAACUGUCCAGACCCCCAUAAGUACAACUAAAUUUA